rnacentral:rRNA from 1 species
ACGAACGCUGGCGGCGCGCCUAACACAUGCAAGUCGAACGAGCGAGAGAGAGCUUGCUUUCUCAAGCGAGUGGCGAACGGGUGAGUAACGCGUGAGGAACCUGCCUCAAAGAGGGGGACAACAGUUGGAAACGACUGCUAAUACCGCAUAAGCCCACAGGUCGGCAUCGACCAGAGGGAAAAGGAGCAAUCCGCUUUGAGAUGGCCUCGCGUCCGAUUAGCUAGUUGGUGAGGUAACGGCCCACCAAGGCAACGAUCGGUAGCCGGACUGAGAGGUUGAACGGCCACAUUGGGACUGAAACACGGCCCAGACUCCUACGGGAGGCAGCAGUGGGGAAUAUUGCACAAUGGGGGAAACCCUGAUGCAGCGACGCCGCGUGGAGGAAGAAGGUCUUCGGAUUGUAAACUCCUGUUGUUGAGGAAGAUAAUGACGGUACUCAACAAGGAAGUGACGGCUAACUACGUG